rnacentral:misc_RNA from 1 species
AGAGGUUCUCUCCCUGUAAAUGAAGCCCGCUGUCGGCUCGACCCGGCAGGUUGGACGAUAGUCGUAACAACUUCAGGUCACCCACUUGGUCUAGCCUCAUCACCUUCGUCAGAGAUCUAAGAAACGUGAACGGAAGGUGGGCUAACAACUAUUUGACCGUCGGCGUCGCUCAUUUUUAAGAAACCAAGAGAAACGUGAUCGGAAAAAGAUCAAAGGAUUACCUGAACAAAGAAUCGUCGACGGAAAAGCAAAGAACAAAAAAAAACCUCGCCGAAGAUUUGAGAGAAUUGAG